UAAUGUAAAGGAGAGGUUUUAAAAGAUAAAAUGAGCUCAAACAUAAGGUCCUCAGGAGACUUUGGCACUCCUCUAGGGCAAAUACAGAAAAGCAAAGGCAACAUGACAGCAGUCAGGGCUGUCACUGUUCCUGCUCCCUGCUGAAAAGUACAAAUUUGCAAGUUUUGAAAGCCGAAAAGUCCAGUAUCAAGGCACCAGAAGAUUCAGUGUCUAUGAGGGCUGCUCUCUGCUUCCAAGAUGGUCCCUUGUUGCUGAGUCACCGGCUGGUAGAACGGGUGUCCAGCAGUGUUCUAGACCCUGGAAAUUUAGAGAUGAGUAAGACAGACCCAGCCUCAUUCUAUCCUCUGGGAUAACCUACAGAAUCCUCAAAAUAAUCAGGUGUCCAUCACUGAGACUACUCAACAGAGCAUUUUUCACAUUCGGAAGGAAUUAUGUAAUCU
rnacentral:lncRNA from 13 species